GGCAUUGAUGAUGGCAGAGAUGUGCUGGUAGGAUUGGAGAUGAGAUCUGUGCUGCAGAGGAAUAAAGACCGAAGCACAGCUGCCAUAAACAGUCCUGGAAGUCUUUUUGUACCAUCCAUUUCCAGGUCCUUUCUAACCUCUGGUCCCUCAAUGAUGACAUCACUUUCUCAUCAACCAUCACAACUUUCCCCAUCAUUUCAUCACUUCCUGUCCUCCGUUAUAAAUUGUCCGACCUGCCUUAUUUUUUUUUUGUCUGUUGUACUGGGAAGAAAACACUGAUGUGCUCUUAUUUGCUUUACAGUAUAUAUUGGGCCUAAAAACCCCAAACUUU